CCUACGGGAGGCUGCAGUGGGGAAUAUUGGACAAUGGGGGGAACCCUGAUCCAGCCAUGCCGCGUGUGUGAAGAAGGCCCUCGGGUUGUAAAGCACUUUCAGUGAGGAAGAACGCCUGGUGGUUAAUACCCAUCAGGAAAGACAUCACUCACAGAAGAAGCACCGGCUAACUCCGUGCCAGCAGCCGCGGUAAUACGGAGGGUGCGAGCGUUAAUCGGAAUUACUGGGCGUAAAGCGCGCGUAGGUGGCUUGAUAAGCCGGUUGUGAAAGCCCCGGGCUCAACCUGGGAACGGCAUCCGGAACUGUCAAGCUAGGGUGCAGGAGAGGAAGGUAGAAUUCCCGGUGUAGCGGUGAAAUGCGUAGAGAUCGGGAGGAAUACCAGUGGCGAAGGCGGCCUUCUGGACUGACACUGACACUGAGGUGCGAAAGCGUGGGUAGCAAACAGGAUUAGAUACCCUUGUAGUC
rnacentral:rRNA from 1 species